rnacentral:rRNA from 1 species
GACGAACGCUGGCGGCGUGCUUAACACAUGCAAGUCGAACGGAAAGGCCCUGCUUUUGUGGGGUGCUCGAGUGGCGAACGGGUGAGUAACACGUGAGUAACCUGCCCUUGACUUUGGGAUAACUUCAGGAAACUGGGGCUAAUACCGGAUAGGAGCUCCUGCUGCAUGGCGGGGGUUGGAAAGUUUCGGCGGUUGGGGAUGGACUCGCGGCUUAUCAGCUUGUUGGUGGGGUAGUGGCUUACCAAGGCUUUGACGGGUAGCCGGCCUGAGAGGGUGACCGGCCACAUUGGGACUGAGAUACGGCCCAGACUCCUACGGGAGGCAGCAGUGGGGAAUAUUGCACAAUGGGCGGAAGCCUGAUGCAGCAACGCCGCGUGCGGGAUGACGGCCUUCGGGUUGUAAACCGCUUUCGCCUGUGACGAAGCGUGAGUGACGGUAAUGGGUAAAGAAGCACCGGCUAACUACGUGCCAGCAGCCGCGGUGAUACGUAGGGUGCGAGCGUUGUCCGGAUUUAUUGGGCGUAAAGGGCUCGUAGGUGGUUGAUCGCGUCGGAAGUGUAAUCUUGGGGCUUAACCCUGAGCGUGCUUUCGAUACGGGUUGACUUGAGGAAGGUAGGGGAGAAUGGAAUUCCUGGUGGAGCGGUGGAAUGCGCAGAUAUCAGGAGGAACACCAGUGGCGAAGGCGGUUCUCUGGGCCCUUCCUGACGCUGAGGAGCGAAAGCGUGGGGAGCGAACAGGCUUAGAUACCCUGGUAGUCCACGCUGUAAACGGUGGGUACUAGGUGUGGGGUCCAUUCCACGGGUUCCGUGCCGUAGCUAACGCUUUAAGUACCCCGCCUGGGGAGUACGGCCGCAAGGCUAAAACUCAAAGGAAUUGACGGGGCCCCGCACAAGCGGCGGAGCAUGCGGAUUAAUUCGAUGCAACGCGUAGAACCUUACCUGGGUUUGACAUGGAUCGGGAGUGCUCAGAGAUGGGUGUGCCUCUUUUGGGGUCGGUUCACAGGUGGUGCAUGGCUGUCGUCAGCUCGUGUCGUGAGAUGUUGGGUUAAGUCCCGCAACGAGCGCAACCCUUGUUCACUGUUGCCAGCACGUUAUGGUGGGGACUCAGUGGAGACCGCCGGGGUCAACUCGGAGGAAGGUGGGGAUGACGUCAAGUCAUCAUGCCCCUUAUGUCCAGGGCUUCACGCAUGCUACAAUGGCUGGUACAGAGAGUGGCGAGCCUGUGAGGGUGAGCGAAUCUCGGAAAGCCGGUCUCAGUUCGGAUUGGGGUCUGCAACUCGACCUCAUGAAGUCGGAGUCGCUAGUAAUCGUAGAUCAGCAACGCUGCGGUGAAUACGUUCCCGGG